rnacentral:rRNA from 1 species
ACGAACGCUGGCGGCGUGCUUAACACAUGCAAGUCGAACGAUGAAGCUGGAGCUUGCUCCGGUGGAUUAGUGGCGAACGGGUGAGUAACACGUGAGAAAUCUGCCCUUGACUCUGGGAUAACUGCGGGAAACUGUAGCUAAUACCGGAUACUUUCCUUGGUGGGCAUCCACUGGGGAAGAAAGAAUUUCGGUCAAGGAUGAUCUCGCGGCCUAUCAGCUUGUUGGUGAGGUAAUGGCUCACCAAGGCGACGACGGGUAGCCGGCCUGAGAGGGUGACCGGCCACACUGGGACUGAGACACGGCCCAGACUCCUACGGGAGGCAGCAGUGGGGAAUAUUGCACAAUGGGCGCAAGCCUGAUGCAGCAACGCCGCGUGAGGGACGAAGGCCUUCGGGUUGUAAACCUCUUUUAGCAGGGAAGAAGCGAAAGUGACGGUACCUGCAGAAAAAGCACCGGCUAACUACGUGCCAGCAGCCGCGGUAAUACGUAGGGUGCAAGCGUUGUCCGGAAUUAUUGGGCGUAAAGAGCUCGUAGGCGGUUUGUCACGUCUGCUGUGAAAUUUCGAGGCUCAACCUCGAACUUGCAGUGGGUACGGGCAGGCUAGAGUGCGGUAGGGGAGAUGGGAAUUCCUGGUGUAGCGGUGGUAUGCGCAGAUAUCAGGAGGAACACCCAAUGGCGAAGGCACAUCUCUGGGCCGUAACUGACGCUGAGGAGCGAAAGCGUGGGGAGCGAACAGGAUUAGAUACCCUGGUAGUCCACGCCGUAAACGGUGGGUGCUAGCUGUGGGCCACAUUCCACGUGGUCCGUGACGAAGUUAACACAUUAAGCACCCCGCCUGGGGAGUACGGCCGCAAGGCUAAAACUCAAAGGAAUUGACGGGGGCCCGCACAAGCGGCGGAGCAUGCGGAUUAAUUCGAUGCAACGCGAAGAACCUUACCAAGGCUUGACAUAUAGAGGAAAAGUGCAGAAAUGUACUCCCCGCAAGGUCUCUAUACAGGUGGUGCAUGGUUGUCGUCAGCUCGUGUCGUGAGAUGUUGGGUUAAGUCCCGCAACGAGCGCAACCCUCGUCCUAUGUUGCCAGCACGUAAUGGUGGGAACUCAUGGGAUACUGCCGGGGUCAACUCGGAGGAAGGUGGGGAUGACGUCAAAUCAUCAUGCCCCUUAUGUCUUGGGCUUCACGCAUGCUACAAUGGCCGGUACAGAGGGCUGCAAUACCGUAAGGUGGAGCGAAUCCCAAAAAGCCGGUCUCAGUUCGGAUUGAGGUCUGCAACUCGACCUCAUGAAGUCGGAGUCGCUAGUAAUCGUAGAUCAGCAACGCUACGGUGAAUACGUUCCCGGGCCUUGUACACACCGCCCGUCAAGUCACGAAAGUCGGUAACACCCGAAGCCGGUGGCCUAACCGUAAGGAAGGAGCCGUCGAAGGUGGGAUUGGUGAUUGGGACUA